rnacentral:rRNA from 1 species
AGAGUUUGAUCCUGGCUCAGAAUGAACGCUGGCGGCGUGCUUAACACAUGCAAGUCGAACGAUGAAGCCUAGCUUGCUAGGUGGAUUAGUGGCGCACGGGUGAGUAAUAUAUAGAUAAUGUGCCCCUUAGUCUGGGGUAGCCAUUGGAAACGAUGAUUAAUACUAGAUACUCCUUCUCAUCAUAAGUUGAGUCGGGAAAGUUUUUUCGCUAAGGGAUCAGUCUAUAUCGCAUCAGUUAGUUGGUGGGGUAACGGCCUACCAAGACAAUGACGCGUAGCGGGUUUGAGAGGAUGAUCCGCCACACUGGUACUGAGACACGGACCAGACUCCUACGGGAGGCAGCAGUGAGGAAUAUUGCACAAUGGGGGAAACCCUGAUGCAGCAACGCCGCGUGGAGGAUGACGCAUUUCGGUGUGUAAACUCCUUUUAUAUGUCAAGAAAAUGACGGUAGCAUAUGAAUAAGCACCGGCUAACUCCGUGCCAGCAGCCGCGGUAAUACGGAGGGUGCAAGCGUUAUUCGGAAUCACUGGGCGUAAAGGACGCGUAGGCGGGAUAGUAAGUCUGAUGUGAAAUCCUAUGGCUUAACCAUAGAACUGCAUUGGAAGCUACUAACCUAGAGUAUGGGAGGGGGAGAUGGAAUUAGUGGUGUAGGGGUAAAAUCCGUAGAUAUCACUAGGAAUACCGAAAGCGAAGGCGAUCUCCUGGAACAAUACUGACGCUAAGGCGUGAAAGCGUGGGGAGCAAACGGGAUUAGAUACCCCGGUAGUCUACGCCCUAAACGAUGAACACUAGUCGUCGGAAUGCUAGUCAUUUCGGUGAUGCACUUAACAGAUUAAGUGUUCCGCCUGGGGAGUACGGUCGCAAGAUUAAAACUCAAAGGAAUAGACGG